rnacentral:rRNA from 1 species
UGAGGAAUAUUGGUCAAUGGCCGAGAGGCUGAACCAGCCAAGCCGCGUGAGGGAAGAAGGUACAGAGUAUCGUAAACCUCUUUUGUCGGGGAACAAAAGCUGGGACGCGUCCCCGUCUGCGUGUACCCGAAGAAAAGCAUCGGCUAACUCCGUGCC